AAUAUGCCACUGAAAUCAAUGGCUUUGUGGUCGAGAUGGAUGGGGCUGUUGGGAUGUGUGUGUUUGUGGAGUAAUUGCACAACCAAACAGAGAGAGGCUCCUCUCUCCCACAAAGACUCACUUGAAGAUGUGCCUAGCAAGAGACUAUCAAUAUCCUCAUUAAAAUGGACCCAGAGAGUCGAAGUAGUAAGAUGGGCCCUUAAUCUCUUCUGCAGGAGCAUCGUGAAAACUCAUUAAGGUUGGUAGGCUGAUUUGAUAACCCUGAAUAAUAAGUGUGACAAGAGUAUAAACUUAUGUUAUUAAAACAUGAAUUGGCUUAUUUUCUGGAUGACUUAAGAAGCCAGUGGGGUGAAGGCAAUUUCAGGGGAUGUUUUGCAGAGCCUGGUGAAGAAUAAAAGCUGAAUUUGUCUGUUGUCCAUCUGCUUUUCUUCACAGAACAGUACUAUGCCAUCAGCGCAGGAAGGAAAACAGAAACCAAGAAAAAUAGUCAGGAAAAAUGGGUUCUUCUUGGAGAACUAUUAACCAAUUAACUUCCGGAAGUCACGGGCCUCCCUGAGGUUCCCAUUUCCUCUGUGGACACAUGAAAACAUUGAAAAACCUAUGCCACUAAACCAGAUUUACAAGCAAUCAAUUUGAAUGACUUGGGAAAAAUGAAGAUAUCUCCUUUUAUGGGAGACCAUAUAGCAAGAUUGAGGUGUAAUUUGCCUCCUCGGUGAGCACUAAGAAGAAAGAGGGCGUGUAAGCAUGCUGACACACUUCAGGGAAAAGCAAAAACACCUGAGGUCCUGUUGUUUGCCUGGACAAGGUCCAUGGAGGAUGGGAGUCAGGUUCAAGCUCUUAGACUGGUCUCUAGAAGUGGCACCCUGAACAGGGACCUGGUCAAGGAAGUCUGCCCCAGGGGAAAAAUACAGUGAAUCAGCGACAAGGACUUCUGCAGUGGAGAGAAGCCGCUGGCAAAAGAAAGAGCUCAGCUGAAUAUCAUUCUUUGUGUUUUGGGUCACGGAAAUAAAUGAAAAGGUACGCAUGCCUUCUUCCUCCAAGUAACUGGCAGUUUGAGAUAUGGAUGCCACUCUCCACCUAUACAAUAUUUCAGGGGCUAGCAGACAGGCCACAGGGACAUUGAUGGAACUACUUUGCUUCAAUGGGCUCCUCUGUCUUCUGGCUCCCAGCGGGUUUGACAAUGUAAGGCAUCAACAAGAGAACCUGCAAGAGUGAGAGUGAAGCUUUUAUGCCUUUGACUCUCUUCAACCUGGUUACUGCAGGGCUGGAUGAUUCCUUGUGGAAUGAGAAGAGCUUUGCCUUGUUUCCCUCAAGUGGUUGCUGCUACAUUUCUGAGAUUUGGAGUCAGUUUGAGGCCAACUAGUCAGGAAGGCUAAAAUCCACCCCAGAGGGCUCGAAGUCUGAAGCUUGUUCACUUGAUUUCCCUCUAGAUGAGGUUGUGCUCAUCCAGAAGUGACUGCGUGAUGUUUUGGCUGCUGUCUGAUAUGAAUCGGGAAGAAAAUCACAAGACUAAAAGUUUCCUUAAUAGAAUCCAGCAUAGCCUCUGAGAAUUCUAUGGGAAAUCUGCUGCUGAGCAUACCACACAGCUGUGAAGAAGUGGGUACCGAAGACCAG